GAUGAACGCUAGCUACAGGCUUAACACAUGCAAGUCGAGGGGAAACGAUAGGGAAAGCUUGCUUUUUCUAGGCGUCGACCGGCGCACGGGUGAGUAACGCGUAUCCAACCUGCCCAUCACUUGGGGAUAACCUUGCGAAAGUAAGACUAAUACCCAAUGACGUCUCUAGAAGACAUCUGCAGGAGAGUAAAGAUUUAUCGGUGAUGGAGGGGGAUGCGUCUGAGUAGCUUGUUGGCGGGGUAACGGCCCACCGAGGCGACGAUCAGCAGGGGUUCUGAGAGGAAGGUCCCCCACAUUGGAACUGAGACACGGUCCAAACUCCUACGGGAGGCAGCAGUGAGGAAUAUUGGUCAAUGGACGAGAGUCUGAACCAGCCAAGUAGCGUGCAGGAAGACGGCCCUAUGGGUUGUAAACUGCUUUUAUAAGGGAAUAAAGUGAGUCUCGUGAGACUUUUUGCAUGUACCUUAUGAAUAAGGACCGGCUAAUUCCGUGCCAGCCGCCGCCGUAA
rnacentral:rRNA from 1 species